CAUUGUUUUAAAAUAAUUUACUCAGUCAACAAUGGUUAAGAUAUUUUUUUUUUAGAGUUAAACAACUUACCUUGUUUGAGGAAGUACACUUCAAUUCUAAGUGCAUUUUGUUUGCUUUGUUGCUAAAGUUCAAUUAAUACACUGUUUCAUAUUGCAUUUUCACAGAUCAAAAACUCACAAGCCAGGUCCAUGAAAUUGUUGGACGAAUUAACGGCAGAUUUGGAACAUUGACAGUUGUUCCAAUACAUCACUUGGAUCACUCUCUUGAUUUCCAUGCUUUAUGUGCUCUAUAUGUUGUCACAGAUGUGACAAGCGAAAUAGAAAAGGAUACUUAAUUUUGAAGGCUUUGUGUUGGGCGGCUGUAGAAUAUUUUGUGCUGAAAGUAGUAGAAUAUGUUGAAUAUUUAAGACUACUUGAAUACUUAAAGAACAUUUUGUCGUUGAUGACAGUGUUGAAUGUUUUAAACUAAUUUGUGGAUUGUUAAUACAAUGUUGAAUGUUUUAAACUGAAUUGUGGA